rnacentral:snRNA from 12 species
UGCCUUACCUGAUAGGGGAGAUCCCAUGAUCCUCUCAGCUGAUUGAGUGGAGUUAUAGGGUGAGGCCUGCCCCUGUACUCUGGGCAGGCUGACCCCUGUGAGAUUCCCCAAAUGUGGGUAACUCAACUGCACAGUUUUGUGGUAAUGGGGGACUGCCUUUUCCCUUUCCCUGU